CGUUCAGCGGAGAAUGCGCAUGUCUGGACGCUUGAACGCGCCAAAUCGAGAUGAAGACGACGCAAGUCAUCACCUCCAUGGUUCCACUCUUUGCACUUCUCGUGUCAGCGCCGGUAUGAGAACUUUUACCAGAUAAAAGAAGAAUUCAAAAGAAUUACAACCAUUGAGCUGGAAACAACAUUCGUUGCAAAUUUGGACAAGCACACAGUGAGGCUCCUGUCUUUGUUCUCUGCUAAAGGAGGUGCUGCUGGACGGAAGAUGGGUCAACUUCUGGAUCUUUUGAAGCAGGGUGCUCCAUCUGAUGAAGUAAAAGAGGAUCUUGCACAGCAUACAAUCAAAAUUGUCACCAAAGGUGGUUCUACGGAGGAUGACCCAUUGGAUGUUGGGAUUGUGCUGGAAGGCAGAGAAGUACUGUCUGGGUUGUCCAGUGUAGCAAGGGCGUGUGCCUUGUUACUAGGUCUGAUCUAUGCUGUGAACCUUAGUUACCCCAAACAACUCAGGUACACGUUUGAAUUUUGUCAAAAGAU